rnacentral:ncRNA from 2 species
GUUGGAUCGCGGCGUCAUGGUUCUGCCGGUUCCGCUCGGGGCUGGGAGCUAAGAGGGAAGCCGGUGCCGCCAGAUCCGAUGGCCAGUCCGGCGCUGCCCCCGCAACUGUAAGCGGAGAGUCGUUUCGUCGCCUCAGCGCCACUGGUGCCUCGUUGGGCACCGGGAAGGCCGGACGGAAUGGUGCCGACCCGCGAGCCAGGAGACCUGCCGUGACCGUUCGUUCGUC